CGGGAGAUAGCUGGUUCUCCCCGAAAGCUAUUUAGGUAGCGCCUCGUGAAUUCAUCUCCGGGGGUAGAGCACUGUUUCGGCAAGGGGGUCAUCCCGACUUACCAACCCGAUGCAAACUGCGAAUACCGGAGAAUGUUAUCACGGGAGACACACGGCGGGUGCUAACGUCCGUCGUGAAGAGGGAAACAACCCAGACCGCCAGCUAAGGUCCCAAAGUCAUGGUUAAGUGGGAAACGAUGUGGGAAGGCCCAGACAGCCAGGAUGUUGGCUUAGAAGCAGCCAUCAUUUAAAGAAAGCGUAAUAGCUCACUGGUCGAGUCGGCCUGCGCGGAAGAUGUAACGGGGCUAAACCAUGCACCGAAGCUGCGGCAGCGACGCUUAUGCGUUGUUGGGUAGGGGAGCGUUCUGUAAGCCUGCGAAGGUGUGCUGUGAGGCAUGCUGGAGGUAUCAGAAGUGCGAAUGCUGACAUAAGUAACGAUAAAGCGGGUGAAAAGCCCGCUCGCCGGAAGACCAAGGGUUCCUGUCCAACGUUAAUCGGGGCAGGGUGAGUCGACCCCUAAGGCGAGGCCGAAAGGCGUAGUCGAUGGGAAACAGGUUAAUAUUCCUGUACUUGGUGUUACUGCGAAGGGGGGACGGAGAAGGCUAUGUUGGCCGGGCGACGGUUGUCCCGGUUUAAGCGUGUAGGCUGGUUUUCCAGGCAAAUCCGGAAAAUCAAGGCUGAGGCGUGAUGACGAGGCACUACGGUGCUGAAGCAACAAAUGCCAUGCUUCCAGGAAAAGCCUCUAAGCAUCAGGUAACAUCAAAUCGUACCCCAAACCGACACAGGUGGUCAGGUAGAGAAUACCAAGGCGCUUGAGAGAACUCGGGUGAAGGAACUAGGCAAAAUGGUGCCGUAACUUCGGGAGAAGGCACGCUGAUAUGUAGGUGAAGCGACUUGCUCGUGGAGCUGAAAUCAGUCGAAGAUACCAGCUGGCUGCAACUGUUUAUUAAAAACACAGCACUGUGCAAACACGAAAGUGGACGUAUACGGUGUGACGCCUGCCCGGUGCCGGAAGGUUAAUUGAUGGGGUCAGCGCAAGCGAAGCUCUUGAUCGAAGCCCCGGUAAACGGCGGCCGUAACUAUAACGGUCCUAAGGUAGCGAAAUUCCUUGUCGGGUAAGUUCCGACCUGCACGAAUGGCGUAAUGAUGGCCAGGCUGUCUCCACCCGAGACUCAGUGAAAUUGAACUCGCUGUGAAGAUGCAGUGUACCCGCGGCAAGACGGAAAGACCCCGUGAACCUUUACUAUAGCUUGACACUGAACAUUGAGCCUUGAUGUGUAGGAUAGGUGGGAGGCUUUGAAGUGUGGACGCCAGUCUGCAUGGAGCCGACCUUGAAAUACCACCCUUUAAUGUUUGAUGUUCUAACGUUGACCCGUAAUCCGGGUUGCGGACAGUGUCUGGUGGGUAGUUUGACUGGGGCGGUCUCCUCCUAAAGAGUAACGGAGGAGCACGAAGGUUGGCUAAUCCUGGUCGGACAUCAGGAGGUUAGUGCAAUGGCAUAAGCCAGCUUGACUGCGAGCGUGACGGCGCGAGCAGGUGCGAAAGCAGGUCAUAGUGAUCCGGUGGUUCUGAAUGGAAGGGCCAUCGCUCAACGGAUAAAAGGUACUCCGGGGAUAACAGGCUGAUACCGCCCAAGAGUUCAUAUCGACGGCGGUGUUUGGCACCUCGAUGUCGGCUCAUCACAUCCUGGGGCUGAAGUAGGUCCCAAGGGUAUGGCUGUUCGCCAUUUAAAGUGGUACGCGAGCUGGGUUUAGAACGUCGUGAGACAGUUCGGUCCCUAUCUGCCGUGGGCGCUGGAGAACUGAGGGGGGCUGCUCCUAGUACGAGAGGACCGGAGUGGACGCAUCACUGGUGUUCGGGUUGUCAUGCCAAUGGCACUGCCCGGUAGCUAAAUGCGGAAGAGAUAAGUGCUGAAAGCAUCUAAGCACGAAACUUGCCCCGAGAUGAGUUCUCCCUGACUCCUUGAGAGUCCUGAAGGAACGUUGAAGACGACGACGUUGAU
rnacentral:rRNA from 1 species